rnacentral:rRNA from 1 species
UUUAAUUAAGAGUUUGAUCCUGGCUCAGGACGAACGCUGGCGGCACGCUUAACACAUGCAAGUCGAACGAGAGAAGAGAAGCUUGCUUUUCUGAUCUAGUGGCGGACGGGUGAGUAACACGUGAGCAAUCUGCCUUUCAGAGGGGGAUACCGAUUGGAAACGAUCGUUAAUACCGCAUAAUAUAAUUGAACCGCAUGAUUUGAUUAUCAAAGAUUUAUCGCUGAAAGAUGAGCUCGCGUCUGAUUAGCUAGUUGGUAAGGUAACGGCCUACCAAGCGACGAUCAGUAGCCGGACUGAGAGGUUGAUCGGCCACAUUGGGACUGAGACACGGCCCAGACUCCUACGGGAGGCAGCAGUGGGGAAUAUUGCACAAUGGAGGAAACUCUGAUGCAGCGAUGCCGCGUGAGGGAAGAAGGUUUUAGGAUUGUAAACCUCUGUCUUCAGGGACGAAAAAAGACGGUACCUGAGGAGGAAGCUCCGGCUAACUACGUGCCAGCAGCCGCGGUAAUACGUAGGGAGCGAGCGUUGUCCGGAAUUACUGGGUGUAAAGGGAGCGUAGGCGGGAUCGCAAGUCAGAUGUGAAAACUAUGGGCUUAACCCAUAAACUGCAUUUGAAACUGUGGUUCUUGAGUGAAGUAGAGGUAAGCGGAAUUCCUAGUGUAGCGGUGAAAUGCGUAGAUAUUAGGAGGAACAUCAGUGGCGAAGGCGGCUUACUGGGCUUUAACUGACGCUGAGGCUCGAAAGCGUGGGGAGCAAACAGGAUUAGAUACCCUGGUAGUCCACGCCGUAAACGAUGAUUACUAGGUGUGGGGGGACUGACCCCUUCCGUGCCGCAGCAAACGCAAUAAGUAAUCCACCUGGGGAGUACGACCGCAAGGUUGAAACUCAAAGGAAUUGACGGGGGCCCGCACAAGCAGUGGAGUAUGUGGAUUAAUUCGAAGCAACGCGAAGAACCUUACCAGGUCUUGACAUCGUAUGCAUAGCUCAGAGAUGAGUGAAAUCUCUUCGGAGACAUAUAGACAGGUGGUGCAUGGUUGUCGUCAGCUCGUGUCGUGAGAUGUUGGGUUAAGUCCCGCAACGAGCGCAACCCUUACUGUUAGUUGCUACGCAAGAGCACUCUAGCAGGACUGCCGUUGACAAAACGGAGGAAGGUGGGGAUGACGUCAAAUCAUCAUGCCCCUUAUGACCUGGGCCUCACACGUACUACAAUGGCUGUCAACAGAGGGAAGCAAAGCCGCGAGGUGGAGCGAACCCCUAAAAGCAGUCUUAGUUCGGAUUGUAGGCUGCAACCCGCCUACAUGAAGUCGGAAUUGCUAGUAAUCGCAGAUCAGCAUGCUGCGGUGAAUACGUUCCCGGGCCUUGUACACACCGCCCGUCACGCCAUGGGAGUCGGUAACACCCGAAGCCUGUAGUCUAACCGUAAGGAGGACGCAGUCGAAGGUGGGAUUGAUGACUGGGGUGAAGUCGUAACAAGGUAGCCGUAUCGGAAGGUGCGGCUGGAUCACCUCCUUUCUA